rnacentral:tRNA from 1 species
GUUAAGUUAGUUUAAUCCAAAAUUUUAGACUGUGGAACUAAAGAUGAAUAUAUUUUCACUUAACC